rnacentral:rRNA from 1 species
UACGAAGGUGGCGAAUGAUACUCGGAUUUACUGGGCGUAAAGCGUCCGCAGGUGGUUUAUCAAGUCAGGUGUGAAAUCCCCGUGCUCAACAUGGGAACUGCAUUUGAAACUGCUAGACUAGAAGAUAGAAGAGGUAGGUAGAAUUCUCGGUGUUGAGGUGAAAUUCGUAGAUAUCGAGAGGAAUACUCAUGGCGAAGGCAGCCUACUGGUCUAUUCUUGACACUCAGGGACGAAAGCGUGGGGAGCAAACAGG